AGGAUAAACGCUGGCGGCGUGCCUAACACAUGCAAGUCGAACGCCCUUUUGCUCGCAAGAGCCAGAGGAAGUGGCGGACGGGUGAGUAACACAUGGGUAACCUACCCCCCAGUGAGGAAUACCGGCGAGAAAUCGCCGACAAGACCGCAUAGGCUCGGUCCGGUGAAGCGGAGCGAGCAAAGUCUCGCAAGAGACGCUGAGGGAUGGGCCUGUGGCCGAUUAGCUAGUUGGUAAGGUAAAGGCUUACCAAGGCGACGAUCGGUAGCUGGUCUGAGAGGACGAACAGCCACACUGGGAUUGAGAACGGCCCAGACUCCUACGAGGGGCAGCAGUGAGGAAUUUUCCGCAAUGGACGCAAGUCUGACGGAGCAACGCCGCGUGCAGGAGGACGCUUUUCGGAGUGUAAACUGUCUUUUCUGUGGGACGAGCGUGGACGGUACCACGAGGAAGAAGCCCCGGCUAACUACGUGCCAGCAGCCGC
rnacentral:rRNA from 1 species